ACACUCAUACACGCCCUUCUCCUAGGGGCAGGAAAUGAAAGCCAGAACAGGAAUGGGAAUCAAAAAAUAUUUGGAUGUCAUCUUUUGAAGAUGAGCAUUUUCUGAUAUUUAAACCCAAAAGCUGUCUGGAUGGUGCAGGGCCUCCUCUAGCAUCACUCUGAUUGGAGUGAUCUGUUGCUGGUUACAAGAGACAGGGUGUGACUGCCGAAACUGGUGGCAUGAACAAUUGGGCCCCUUGUUCCAGCCGUCCCCGCACUCUCACCUACACCGAUUGAUGUGCGCAGCACCGCUUCAAGCAGAACACAUCUAAUUUUACUUUAAUAUUGUUUUGCAUGUUUGUCUUGUUGGUAUGUGCUUAUAUCCUAUUUGUUUCUCAGCGGAGACUGAAAGAUAAAUAUAAUGUCCACAAAUUAGUUUUUUUGGUAAGUAGUCUUGAAAUAAAGUCAGUUGUCAUUCAUGUAAUGUAAUAAACAUUGUCCCUUAAUAACUAGUCUAUUGUUGCAACAUGGUGUGAUUUUGAAAAUAUUAAAACUUCAAAUUUUGGUUUAA